rnacentral:lncRNA from 1 species
CAAGGCUCGGACUUAGUAGUACCGUAGUAAGAGGUCCACUGAGUCCACUGUCAUGGCGACGCUGAGCUGUAACACUCGUCUGUGCCUCAGAGCUGUGGCACUUGGCUAUAGCGCUGAGCUGUUCCGCUUUGCCACAACAACUGUAAGAACAUACAACUGGCUCCAGUUUGACUAUUUUAGAUUCCACAUAAUCCACAUCAACAAGCCAAGAGGGAGAAGAGAAGAGGUCAAGGGACAAAAGUGUCCACUCUCAGCGGAGUCAGCCCUCUUUCCAGUGGUUUUGCAGGAGCCCUUAUUAUUCGCCUCUUGUUGAGACUCCCUUGAACACUUCAUUCCCCUCUGAGAAAUUGCUAAAUGUCAGCCAAAAAUGAAUGCUGCAGGAUCUUGGAGAAUCUGACAAAUGAUGGACACUGAUAGCCCAUUCUGUGGCGAGUUACUCAGAGUGGAGGCUGAGAGGACUUAGUGAGAACUCUCAGUUGGUUGGAGAAGCUGGCUGUGGAUUCCAGCCUGAAGAUGCGGACAUGUCUCCUGCCAUGUGGUGCUGUCAGCCGCCUUCUCCAGUGUGACCAGUUGGUGGCCAAGAUGCUGAGCCCUGACAGGAUCUGGGACAGAGAGAACCUGAUUUGGGAGCUGUCCCUGGCAAGUGACCAAGAUAGCCUAAGGUGAUCACAUGAUGGGUCUGCUGGAUAGAGGUCUUCCAACCAGCCCAUGACAUUCAUUUUCUGGAGAGAAUAUUAGAAUUGGAGAAGGUUGUGUCAUUAUUCUAAGAUUCCUUAAGGAGGGCAAUGGGAGCAGAAGUGAACCUCCAAUUCAGGAAGCAGUGGGAGCUCCACUUCACCUAACUCUCAGCUGUCCUUAAGUGUGAACUGAAACCGGAAAACAGAGACAGUGUGGGGACAGCUUGCGACAAGUCUCAUCUUGUCAGAGUGGAGCUGACGAUGUUGGCAGCUGUGCACACAAGGACCCAAGCUGAUGGAGCAGCCACCAUCUUGAACAUUGCUGCUUACCAUGGAAGAUGAAAAUAAAUAAUUCUGGAGAAUAUUCCAUUGAUCAUCAAGUGUUCCACUCUGAUAGUGAUAUGCAG